GGCGGAUGUAGCCAANUGGAUCAAGGCAGUGGAUU
rnacentral:tRNA from 1 species